rnacentral:rRNA from 1 species
AGAGUUUGAUCCUGGCUCAGGAUGAACGCUAGCGGCAGGCCUAACACAUGCAAGUCGAACGGUAAGGCUCAGCUUGCUGAGUACACGAGUGGCGCACGGGUGAGUAACACGUAUGCAACCUACCUUCAACUGGAGAAUAGCCCCGAGAAAUUGGGAAUAAUACUCCAUAAUUUACAGAAUUCGCAUGUUUUCUGUAUUAAAGCUCCGGCGGUUGAAGAUGGGCAUGCGCGUCAUUAGUUAGUUGGUGAGGUAACGGCUCACCAAGACAGCGAUGUCUAGGGGCUCUGAGAGGAUUAUCCCCCACACUGGUACUGAGACACGGACCAGACUCCUACGGGAGGCAGCAGUGAGGAAUAUUGGGCAAUGGGUGCAAACCUGACCCAGCCAUGCCGCGUGCAGGAUGACGGCCCUAUGGGUUGUAAACUGCUUUUCUAUAGGAAGAAACCUUAUUACGUGUAAUAAGCUGACGGUACUAUAGGAAUAAGCACCGGCUAACUCCGUGCCAGCAGCCGCGGUAAUACGGAGGGUGCAAGCGUUAUCCGGAUUUAUUGGGUUUAAAGGGUGCGUAGGCGGAAUGAUAAGUCAGCGGUGAAAUCCCACAGCUUAACUGUGGAACUGCCGUUGAUACUGCCAUUCUUGAGUACAGUUGAAGUGGAUGGAAUGUGUUAUGUAGCGGUGAAAUGCUUAGAUAUGACACAGAACACCGAUAGCGAAGGCAGUUCACUAAACUGUAACUGACGCUGAGGCACGAAAGCGUGGGGAGCAAACAGGAUUAGAUACCCUGGUAGUCCACGCCGUAAACGAUGAUAACUCGAUGUGUGCGAUAUACAGUACGCGUCCAAGCGAAAGUGUUAAGUUAUCCACCUGGAAGUACGUUCGCAAGAAUGAAACUCAAAGGAAUUGACGGGGGCCCGCACAAGCGGAGGAGCAUGUGGUUUAAUUCGAUGAUACGCGAGGAACCUUACCUGGGCUUAAAUGUAGGACGACGUACUGGGAAACCAGUAUUUCUUCGGACGGACUACAAGGUGCUGCAUGGUUGUCGUCAGCUCGUGCCGUGAGGUGUCGGGUUAAGUCCCAUAACGAGCGCAACCCCUAUUCUUAGUUGCCAGCAUGUAAUGAUGGGGACUCUAAGAAAACUGCCUACGCAAGUAGUGAGGAAGGUGGGGAUGACGUCAAAUCAGCACGGCCCUUAUGUCCAGGGCUACACACGUGCUACAAUGGUUGGUACAGAGGGUCGCUACCUGGCAACAGGAUGCUAAUCUCUAAAACCAGUCUCAGUUCGGAUCGAAGUCUGCAACUCGACUUCGUGAAGUUGGAUUCGCUAGUAAUCGCGUAUCAGCAAUGACGCGGUGAAUACGUUCCCGGGCCUUGUACACACCGCC